GAUGAACGCUGGCGGCGUGCCUAAUACAUGCAAGUCGAGCGAACAGACGAGGAGCUUGCUCCUCUGACGUUAGCGGUGGACGGGUGAGUAACACGUGGAUAACCUACCUAUAAGACUGGGAUAACUUCGGGAAACCGGAGCUAAUACCGGAUAACAUGCUGAACCGCAUGGUUCAACAGUGAAAGACGGUCUUGCGGUCACUUAUAGAUGGUUCCGCGCCGCAUUAGCUAGUUGUUAAGGUAACGGCUUACCAAGGCAACGAUGCGUAGCCGACCUGAGAGGGUGAUCGGCCGCACGGGAAGUGAGACACGGUCCAGACUCCUACGGGAGGCAGCAGUAGGGAAUCUGCCGCAAUGGGCGAAAACCUGACGGAGCAACGGCGCGUGAGUGAAGAAGGUCUUCGGAUCGUAAAGCUCUGUUAUUGGGGGAGAACAGAUGUGUAAGUAACUAUGCACGUCGUGACGGUACCUGAUCAGAAAGCCACGGCUAACUACGUG
rnacentral:rRNA from 1 species